AACGAACGCUGGCGGCGUGUUUAAGACAUGCAAGUCGCACGGUGUCAUUUUGGUAGCAAUACUUGAAUGGCAUAGUGGCGCACGGGUGAGUAACACGUGAAUUACAUGCCCUGUAGAGGGGGAUAGCCCAGGGAAACUUGGAUUAAUACCCCAUGGUCUCGCAAGAGUAAAGGUGGCCGCAAGGCUGUCGCUACAGGAUUGGUUCGCGCCCUAUCAGCUAGUUGGCGGGGUAACGGCCCACCAAGGCUACGACGGGUACCUGGUCUGAGAGGACGAUCAGGCACACUGGAACUGAGACACGGUCCAGACACCUACGGGUGGCAGCAGUCGAGAAUAAUUCACAAUGGGGGCAACCCUGAUGGUGCAACGCCGCGUGGAGGAUGACGGUCUUCGGAUUGUAAACUCCUGUCAUCCGGGAGUAAGACCUGGGCAUGAAUAGUGCACAGGGUUGAUAGUACCGGAAGAGGAAGGGACGGCUAACUUCGUGCCAGCAGCCGCCGUAAUAC
rnacentral:rRNA from 1 species